rnacentral:rRNA from 1 species
UACGUAGGGGGCAAGCGUUGUCCGGAUUUAUUGGGCGUAAAGAGCGUGUAGGCGGCCACACAGGUCUGCUGUGAAAACUCGAGGCUCAACCUCGAGCUGUCGGUGGAAACCGUGUGGCUAGAGUCCGGAAGAGGAGAGUGGAAUUCCCGGUGUAGCGGUGAAAUGCGCAGAUAUCGGGAGGAACACCAAUGGCGAAGGCAGCUCGCUGGGACGGUACUGACGCUGAGGCGCGAAAGCGUGGGGAGCAAACAGG